GGAAGUGAAGCUUCAAUUUACAGGUGUUAAUAAUGUGUUAUGGCAUUGAGAUUAAAAGAGUGAAGCUUCAGUUUACAAUUGUAGCUGGAUGAGACAAUAGCGAAGCUUCAGUUCACAGUUGUUCAAACUAGGAGGAAGUUGAUGAAUGAGGUGUAUAAAGAACUAGCCUUCAGUACACUAUGGAGCUUGAAAUCAUAACAACAGAACGAGCUGGACAAAAGAUCUGUUUCGAUGGAUUCCUGUAUACAAAGAAACGAGCAGAAGCUUUUAAUGUGGACGCACCCCUGCUCUAGGAUGAACGUGGCAUUCGUCCUUUUAAAAGAAGAAAAAAAUAUCAAGAAUUGCAGACACGGCUCCACAACCUUGUACUCGACCUGAACGAAGGCAAGAAAACCAUUGCAGAAUUCCUUCGUGGCAUCAGUCAUAACCUUAGAGGUGGUCAGCCAAAUGUACAGCGUGAAAGCUAAGUGGGUUAAUGAAGCAGUCCCCCCUCGAGACACUCCCGUUAUGACAACGAGCCCUGCAUGCUGCCCCUUCAGUGGUUACUGGGGCUAAUUAAGUCAUGAAAUAUCCUCCUGUUGGUGAUGUCCGUGGCUGCAGCAGAGCCGGGCUCAAACAGUGACGGUGCGGCGCAGUGCGGCCGUGCGGUGGAGCUUCAGAGUUCAGCCCUCAGGAGACAGACGCCUUGACGACCGGAAGCAGAAGGAGGCAGAUAGCAAGAGAUACAACAUUCCAACAGUGAGAAAGAGGCUGAAGACAGUCAGUCAGAGGAGAGGAGUAGACAAGCCAGGCAGACUGGGUGCCCUCCGCAGCCAUCCUGAUAGCAUCCACACCACUCCACUCUCCCUUAUUUCCACCAAGGGAGACAGUGCACCGCAUUUCACGCAAGAUGUACUGCACCGGUGGCGUGGCGUCGAGGGAAGCACCUCUUUUUAUCCCUGCUCAGCACUGUAUUGAACACGUGAAGAUGCUUCAGUUUCAAGAAGGGAGUGGUACACACACUUUGCUGCACUCCAAGCUUUUGGAGGUCCAGCGGCACACUGCACACUGCUUUCAUAAGCAUGUGUGCAGAGUGCAAGACAGAGAGUGGCAAGGAUGGAGAAUGCUUCAACAUUCACAGCAUCAUUAGUUCAUGCUUUCUUUUUUGUGGAAAGUAGUGCACACAUUUUUAACCGAAAG